rnacentral:rRNA from 1 species
UACAGAGGAUGCAAGCGUUAUCCGGAAUGAUUGGGCGUAAAGCGUCUGUAGGUGGCUUUUUAAGUCCGCCGUCAAAUCCCAGGGCUCAACUCUGGACAGGCGGUGGAAACUACCAAGCUGGAGUACAGUAGGGGCAGAGGGAAUUUCCGGUGGAGCGGUGAAAUGCGUAGAGAUCGGAAAGAACACCAGCGGCGAAAGCGCUCUGCUGGGCCGACACUGACGCUGAGAGACGAAAGCUAGGGGAGCGAAUGGG